GUUUCAUGAUAUUCUAUUUAUUCAUUUAUUGAAUUAUAUAAAAGAGUGGAGAAAAGAUUAUGUGAAUCUAAGUUUGAAACCAACACAAUCACAAUGUAUGUAUUACAAGGUGAAUGACUAAAGCUUCUACGAACACCUUUGAAGUCCUCAUGUCUGUAAAUCAAAAGUCUACAACUUGGAAGCAUCUCUGAGUUUUUAUCUAGAGCUCUGCAAUCACCAUAAAAGUCAUUCCUACUUCAACCACUUUGAAUUAAAAGAGAAUGGUAGGGAUAACCGAAAAAUGAAAGGGUGACUCUACUUCAACCACUUUGUUAGCACAUUCUUGCUUGAAGAUUAUAUGUGCUCCUUUGUAAAAUGAAAGGGUGACUCUAUAACAUCAUAAUAUCACUGCUCCACUAGAGCAUGGAGCAUUAUCAUCCAAGUG